rnacentral:snRNA from 1 species
UGCUCGCUUCGGCAGCACAUAUACUAAAACUGGAAGGAUACAGAGAAGAUUAGCAAGGCCCCUGCUCAAGGAUGACACGCAAAUUGAUGAAGCGUUCCAUAUUUUU